rnacentral:rRNA from 1 species
UACGUAGGGGGGCGAGCGUUGUCCGGAAUUAUUGGGCGUAAAGAGCGUGUAGGCGGUUCGGUAAGUCUGUCGUGAAAACCUGAGGCUCAACCUCGGGCGUGCGAUGGAUACUGCCGGGCUAGAGGAUGGAAGAGGAGAGUGGAAUUCCUGGUGUAGCGGUGAAAUGCGCAGAUAUCAGGAGGAACACCAAUUGCGAAGGCAGCUCGCUGGGACGUUACUGACGCUGAGACGCGAAAGCGUGGGGAGCAAACAGG